AUCUCUGGAGACAAGGGUGGUCGCUGAUCCUGGACGAGCCACCAAAAUGAAAGAUCUCUGGAGCAGGGAGACUCUCACUCAAGUAUCGGGAUGACACGACCCCUCAGUUACUCACGAGAGA
rnacentral:pre_miRNA from 14 species